CGGAGAUACAGAGAGAGAGAGAGAGAGAGAGAUACAGAGAUGCAGAGAGAGAGAGAGCCAGGGGCGGCCUUGACUGUGAAUACAAAAAUGUCACGGACAUGCCCAUGCACGCCUGGAGCCACAGCGGGCCGGACGGAAAGAACGGCGGCUGGAAAAUGUAAACAGGAAGAACAUGCAGAGAGAGAGAGAGAGAGAGAGAGAGAGAAAAGAGUCCCAAUCGCCCGAGUAGCCGCCAGCUGCGGCAGCCAGAAAAACACGCCAUACCAGGUAAUGGUGCCGGGAGCAGUGGUGGCAGAGGAGCCAGGGCAGUGGAGUGGCCGGAGACAGGAGACACACAGGCGGAGGACCAACGCGGAUCGGGUCAGGAGCGAGAGCCGGGUCAGGAGCAGGAGCCAGGGUGGUUUCUAAUUAUCAGAAGUGUUUGGACGGUUGUAGAUGUGCUGCAGAGGAACCGCGUGCUGCAGAGAAAUGUGGUUGGUGUGGUCGGUCACAUUGUGGUGCUGAAACUCACCCAGCCGAGCUCAAAGACAAAAUGACUUCUGAUGCUGUAGGAACCGGUUUACGGGCCUGUGGAUGGGCCUCAGUGUGGAUGCUGCUCCUCCAGUUCGGUUCUGAUCCAGGUGCUGCAGAGACACUGGUGCGCCAGGUUGGAGCCACAGUUCACCUGAACGUAAACAUAUCUGUGGCACAAUCAGAUCAUGUGCGCUGGAAAUUACAGACAGACAAUGUUCUCAUUCUACUGAAAAAUACUGCCCAGGAUUACAUUAUUGAAAAUGGAAGCCUGCAGAUCCGUGAGGGGAACAAGAAACACUCUGGAUUAUACUUUUUGGAGAUUUUUAACAGUAGUGGAAGCUGUUUAUUAAAGAAAGAUUUUAAGAUCAUCUUUCUAGAACCAGUUUCUAAUAUCAAGGUUCUGCCUACUUGCCCUGAGGGAAAGAACACCACUGUAACCUGCACUGUCGACAGCGGAGAUGAUGUGCACUUCCUGUGGAAGUGGACUUUUAACGGGUCUGAGAAGAGCGAGGCACCGCAGGCAGAACCAGAUAAUCACACAGUUCGCAUCCUGUUUGAGGACGGUGUCCCUGACAGGCUUGUCUGUGAGGCACGGAACGCUUUGAAUGACAUAAGAGCAGAAGUUCAAUGCAGAGGGUACAUGUGGACGCUGGUGGCUGGCGCUGGGUUCCUGCUGGUCUGUCUGUUGGUGGGGGUUCUGGCCGUGAGGAGAAAGAGGAGCGCAGUCAGUAAAUCAGGAACAGAUGAUGUUUACCUCGACAUGACGGGACGACUUCAAGCCAAACCCCAACCUCAACAUCCGGCAGCCCCCCCUCCCGACACCUACGAGCAGCUCAGGCCUCUCCAGAAUAAACCACCUCCAUCAUCAUUAUCACCAUCUUUAUCACCAGAAUCACCAGAAUCACAAUCUCCAUCACCACCAUCACCACCCCCAUCAUCAUCAAAACCUGUAAGAUUGAAUAUACAGGAUAUAUAUGUGUUAUAAUAUGUUAUGUGUGUGUGUGUGUGUACGAGGGAGAUAAAGGGGAAGAGAUUUUGUUUAUUGUAUUCUGUUACUGUAAAUAUUUUUGUUUCUUUAUCAAAUCUGGGUCUGAACUGUUUAACCCUUGUAUUAUUUAAUCCAAAAGCUUUUUAAAUUAAUUUACACAUUAACUUAAUUUAAUAUCAACUGAUGUUUUUAUUAAAUGGUCAAUUAAAGGAUUAAACUAUUACACACACUAUUCAGUGCAGUAUGAAGCAGGAUUAUUAUCUCUUAUAAAUUGUUGCUCCUCCAUAAAACCUUGUAUGUCUAUUUUUACUGUUUUUCACUUUUUUUCAUAAUGUGAGUCUGGCAGUUGAUGAGAGAACCAAUUGAAAUGCUCAACAAUGAUUAUAUAUAUUAUGUAUAUUUAAAAAAUCAUAUUCGUAUUACUUGUAUUCGGUUGUAUUUAUUUUAUGAUCAUGUAAAUUAUUUCAAUAAAACCUGUUCAUAAAUAAAUGUAACA
rnacentral:lncRNA from 1 species